UCUACCGGUCUUCCAAGGCACUGAGAGCCCAUCGCCGCGGACGCCGCUGUAAAUUCCCUGCGGGCCCUGUGCACCACCCUGUGCGCGUCCCCCUCUCCCAGGCCAGGCUGAUAAUGUUAACAGCUCUCUGAGCUAUGCUCAUAUCCUGAACCACUGAGGACUGUGUUCUCCAGGAAUGCUCGCCUGACCCACGCCUGCCCUCUAAGCCCCUAAUGAGGCCCCAGAGGGCUGGGGUGGGGGGGUCUCUUUGUAGUAUCAGAGCAGGGCAGAUAGGCAAAAGGAGUCAGAGCCUGUGCCAGAAUAUGAGGUCAGUUGGCUGCUAGGUCAAUUAAGACAACUUCAGCAAGGGUGGUCAAUGUAGAGGGAAUUCAAUCGUUGGCAUUGCCUGAAAACAGGAAGCCAGAAUCUUUUUAUCUUGACGAACAAACCUCUAUUCAUUGGUCCUGACCUGAGCCACUUUGGUGAAUCCAGAUACCCUGAAGGUGUGACAAGACCUGCCUCACUUAUCCCCCAGCCUUCAGUGCUGGUCCCACAGAGAGCCAUAUGCUUGAGCUGAACUGCAGUUAAGCAGUGACAGCUACCCUCUGUCCAGGCUCUGAGGCCAGCUUUCUGCUCCGUGAGUCACUGACAGUGAGUCUCUACAGAGACUUUUUCUUUCUGUAGCAGCCAAGGUACCCUGCAAGCAACCCACGCCAUUGCCAUAUGUCUUAGUUUGUUUGUGUUGCUAUAAAGCAAUACCUGAGGCUGGGUAAUUUAUAAAGAAAAGAGGUUUGUUAGUUUCACAGUUUCACAGGCUGUAAAAGAAACAUGGCACCACCACCCGCUUUUGAUGAGGGCCUCAGGAAGCUUCCACUCAUGGCAGAAGACAAAGGAGAGCCAAUGUGUGCAAGACAGAGGAAGAGAGAGAGUGCCUAACAUCAAGAUUCUGCACUGGUCAUCAUUUCACAAACAUGAGCAGCAUGGCUGCUCCAAGACACACAGAGGGAAUAACCCCCAUUCACAUCACCAGGAAAUCCUUGCAUGGAGGCUAAAUGAACAGUUGUCCUUGGCCUUGAUCCGGAUACCCAGACGCCCUCUGAGAUGGACCUUGAGGGCCGUGCCAAUGUCUGCUCUCUGCUGAGGACCGCCUGCUUCAGGCCUGUGCUUUGCAGCCUGGUUCAUUUGGGAAUGGUAUGCUUCACACCCAGCCCUGUUAAGUGUGAGUUGAUGAGGACCAUGAGCUUGGAAGAAGCCGUGGGGGCCUCUCUGUGUGUUUCUCUCUGCCCUGCUUUGAGACACUUCACAUAAAAGACUCUAUAAAAAUAAACUGUGGAGAUUUCAAUGCCAGUAAAAAUCCCAGUGGAGGUAGAAAACUAUUUAAAGAGCACAAGGACAUACAUUUAUCUUGUUGUGAAUCCCCGGCUGCCUGGUCCCUGAGCCUGACACACGGCAGAUGCCCAAUAAAUAUUAAUAGAUUGAUCAAUUUGUUGGCUGCUCAUCCAUUUGCAGCUUCAGCCAGCCCAUGGCUCUGCGUGCACACACCACAAGGAGAGAGAAUCCAUAGACUUCGACAGGAGAGAGCUGCUCAGCUGGCAGGAGAGCCUGCCACAAACCCUUGAACAUAAAUGUCCUGCCCUCCACUUCCAGCUCUACGUACUAACUGUAAAAUAAUGAUGUGGCAGAAAGUGAAGUGCAAAGACUGCCAAAUUCUAAGAAAGAACCUGGUUUCAUGCCUUUUAAUCCUUAUGAGUCAUUCCUUGGUCUGCGCCAAGCCCUGUGCUUUACAGCAAGAAUACAGAUGUCUUCAUUGAACUGCAUCUCAUUAGCUGGACCUAACAGAGUGCAAAUUUCUUUCCAAUGCCAUUUGAACUCAAUGCCCAGAUGCUUUUUUCCCCUGGGCCCGUGCAGAUGAAAUCUUGGGCUGGUUUAUAACUUUGAACACCCAGAAUAUUCCCAUUUCAGUUUAAGAUUCCCUCUGACUUAUCUAAUUGUUAGGCUCUCUUCACCUUCAGCCUGAGAAAUGGGCACCAUCAAUUUCUCCUUUCUCACCCAGCUUCACACCCAGGCCCUCCAGACUCAGUGGGUGUCUGACACCUCUACAGCUGGAGUCCUUCAGCAAUGGGCCCCCUGGGCUCAGCAGAUAUUUUGAGCUGGCCAUUUCUUCUGUGAGACAAUCUUGUGUUUUCUCAGGAAUUCCCCUGCAGAAGAUCUCUGAGUACAAACCCAUGCCCAGUGAUGUUGCCUCUGCCCAGCUACUUACAAGACCAUUCCUCGGCCCAUCCAGGGCUACCAAUCUGUUUAUGUAAUUUGUGCCAUGAAUAAAGGUACCAGACAAUUGAGUAAGUGGA
rnacentral:lncRNA from 1 species